AACGCACGAGACCUGCGGACCUGCGGAAGGAUCAUUAUUGUGGGGGGCCCAGGUUAGACUUGGCAAGGGGGGUGCAGAUUCUACUGUUUUCACUGUACCCCGCUUGCGACUGAGGCCCCCUUUUAAGAGUAACGGGUGCAACAGGUUUCGUGUCCCAUCUGCAAGCCGAACGCGAGCUACAGAUCUGGACACCUUUGCCACAGUUAGGGUUAAGUCUAUCGCCCCGCGGAUUGAUCACGG
rnacentral:misc_RNA from 1 species